UUAUGGAUUUUGGAGAGAUUUAACUCUAAUUUGUCAGUGAGCUACCCCUUCGCUCCGUUUCCUAGAACGAUGCCCUCUUUCUCUAAACCCCUCCAUUUUCUCCCAAAACCCUCAUCUUCAAUCUCCAAACCCUACUCUCUUCAAUCCAAUCCAUUCUCCACUUACUCCCAAAAAUCCAACAGGCGCCCAAAGAAGAAAGUCUACCAUCGAGAGCCAGACCUCGACAAAGCCAUGGACCUCAACAAGAAACCCUCCCUCAUCCUCCACCUCAAAACCCUCAUCGCUUCCCAAAAAACCCAAUCAAUUCUCCUCAGAGACCUCGAGAAAGAAGUGGGUUUCAUUAAAAAAUGGAACUUUCUCUCUCUGAUUCAAAAACACCCAACAGUGUUCAAAGUCUCAGGGGGCUCAAAUUCUCGAUCCCCGAUCUCUGUUAAGCUCACUGAUAAAGCGCUGAAGAUUUUGAACGAAGAAGACGUUGCUAGAGAGCUGAUGGAGCCCAUUUUGGUUAGGAAUUUGAGGAAGCUGCUGAUGAUGUCAAUGGACUGCCAGAUUCCAAUGGAGAAGAUUGAGCUCGUUGAGAAUGAUUUCGGUUUGCCCAAAAACUUUAAGAAUUUGUUGAUUCCUAAAUACCCAGAAUUUUUUUCAAUCAAAAUUGUUGAUGGGUUGGAGUAUCUAUGCUUGGAGAGUUGGGAUUCUUCGCUUGCGGUCACUGCUCGCGAAGAAAGAUUAGACCUUGGAAGCGUUGAGAAACCAUCAAAGGUGAUUUCUAGAGAUGGCAAUUUCUCGGGGCCGUUUGCUUUUAAAAUGAGAUAUCCACCGGGUUUUCGUCCAAAUGUACAUUAUCUGGAGGAGGUGAAGAAAUGGCAGAAGUUAGCAUUUCCUUCUCCGUAUUUGAAUGCGAGAAGGAUUGAGCCAGCAACACCGCAAGCGAGGAAGAGAGCGGUGGCGGUGUUGCACGAGCUAUUGAGUUUGAUGAUGGAGAAGAGAUUGACUUCUGAUAAAUUGGAUGCUUUUCAUAAUGAGUAUCAGCUUCCUUGUAGAUUGUUGCUUUGCUUGGUUAAGAAUCAUGGGAUUUUCUAUAUCACGAAUAAGGGGGCGAGGAGCACUGUGUUUCUAAAGGAAGCUUAUGAUGGAGUCGAUUUGAUUGAGAAGUGUCCUUUGUUGAGAUUUCAAGAUCGGUUUAUGUCGCUCAUUGGGAGGACUUGCCCGAAUUUGAGUAACGCUCUGGCUGCUUGACUCAAUUUGAAGGGCAAGAAAUGCAAUCUCCUCACUCGUUGGUGCAGAUAGGGUGAUUGCAUCAACGAUUAUGGUCAACACUGACUCAACAGUCUUAAGUCUCUCAUGCCUCGACUUGCGGAUUUAUCUUAAAGUGUAUUUAUCCUAGGCCGUCACAUUACACACUCGAUCUUAUUGGCUCGCGAGUUAUGUCACAAAAUUCAUCGCCGUACUGGCCUCGCGAGGAUGUGUAUAAAAUUGGACCUUUGGAAGGCCUAUAUUUCUACGGACAGAGCGUUUCUCCUUGAUGUUAUGCAUAGGACUAUCGGGUUCAGUGAGAAGCGGAGGAGACGGACACAUGCAUGCUUGGAAGAAACAUUCUAUAUGUUUCACUUAUAAGUGUAUUAGCUCUGAAAUUCUUAAUUCUUCGAAUGACGUUUGGUAAGGAGAUAAUGUCUCUUUGUUCACACUUGUCUUGCUGGUCCUCUCUCGCCUACUUGAUGAUGAUGCUGCUCAAGAGGGUAAUCUAACCCCUUCUUCAGUUGGUGAUUUGUCGGCAUAUCAUGUUGCUUUUAUGAACGAUUUUAUGAUAUUUGCUCGUGCUACUAAGUAAGAAAAAUGCAAGAACAAUUAAAUCUAUUCUUGCAAGGAUUUCCGCUUUAUCAGACCUCUAAAUAAAUUGUAUCAAAAAUACUAUGUUUUUUGGGGGUAAUUGUCGCUACCGCUUAUGGGUUUGUCGUCAUCUGAACCUUGAGGAGGGCUCCCUUCUGAUUAGGUAUUUGGGUUUGCUUC